rnacentral:lncRNA from 1 species
UAUGUAUUUAUGGUUGAUUUGGUGACGGAGACUAAGGACAAACAGGAAUGGGAUCUGAUCUGAUAAAUGGAUAAGGUGAUAGCCUCACUAGAUAUCUUGGGAGAUGGUGGACGGACCGAGUUCAUAGAGAACUACCGUGAACAUUGUCUCAUACCGAACGAGGUAUGGAGAUUUGGUCAUUUGGCGCUCAUACCUGACGGGGUAUAGGGACGGCCCUGGAAUUAAGAAUGUUAAGAAGAAUGGUUCACGUGUAGCGGGGACACCCCUAUGGAUCCCCAUGGAUAUUAGUGGACCGGUGAAAACGAGAAACGGUAAUAAUAAGUUAUUGUUAAUGAAU